UCAGAUGACAUUUGUUUCAGAUGU
rnacentral:siRNA from 1 species